CGGACCUUCCGACCUGAAGACCUUCCGACUUGAGGUCUUUCCAUCUUGAGGGCCUCCCGACCUGAAGACCUUCCGACCUGAGGUCUUUCCGUCCUGAGGACCUACCGACCUAAGAACCUUCCGUCCUGAGGUCUUUCCGUCCUGAGGACCUACCGACCUAAGAACCUUCCGUCCUGAGGACCUACCGACCUAAGAACCUUCCGUCCUGAGGUCUUUCCGUCCUGAGGACCUACCGACCUAAGAACCUUCCGUCCUGAGGACCUACCGACCUAAGAACCUUCCGUCCUGAGGUCUU